AGUCCAAAACUGAUUAUUUACAUGGCAAAACACCAAUCAGCGUAGAAGUUCAGAAGUUCAGCUUUUAUUUCUUCGUUUCCUUCAUCACAACUACCUCUCCCAACAAAGAACUAAUCCCAAAACCUAACAUCGACAUCUUCAGCUUCCAAACGUAAAUCAGAGAAUCAAACAAACACUCGAUUCAAUUGAGUAAUAAGCCUAAAACGUUAUCAUCAGUUCUUUAUCAUGAACAUUCACUUGAAAUUGAGGAGAAAAGUUGGUGAGAUUGAAUUUCAGAUUAAUUUGUGGAUUCAUCGUUAAAAUCGAUUUGAAAGGGAGCGAAGAGAAAAUCGAUAAAUCUAAUUGGCGUCCUAAAUCAGGAGGAUACUAUAGAGGUGGUUAUUCAGAUCAGGAGCUUAUGAUUCCACCUACCUCUUCGUCUUCUUUCAGUGGAAAUCUAAAUCGACCUAACUCUAGCGGCAGUCGACCUAAUUAUAGGGGAAUCGACCUGAUUCGGGUGGAUGGUCAAUAUGGGACACAUGGGUAUCCUGGGAGACAAAAAAACUAUAGGGAUCUUCUUCAUGGAUCAAAAUAUGCUCUGUAUAUGAGGAUAAGGAUGGUGAUUGGAUGCAAGUGGGAGAUAUCUCGUGGGAGUACUUUUCAAGAGAGCUUAAGAAAGUGGAGAAGACAAAUGGACAAGUCUUGUAGAUGGACGCUUUUCUGGAAUUUCUGAUUUUAAUAGCAUGCUUGCUAUGUGUUUAGGCACUUGCUAUAUGUUAGAUUUUAAUCGCAUGCUUGUUAGUGCUUAGGUGGACGAUUCAAGAUGUAUGUGGUGUACAAACUGGUGUACCUUUUCUUGUCUUUGGAUUUUGUGGAUGUGUACAUGUGUAAACUAAGAUUUUUAAAAAUUGAAAAUUAUAUAGUCA